AUGGCGAUUGGCUUGCCAUCCACUGGUCAUUUCGUGCUCCUCACCAUCCUCAUCUGCCUCCUCGUCCAUCAUUGUAGUGCAGUGUAUGACGUCGAGUCAACCGCUGAGUCGGGGAAGCUGAUAUCGGCCCAGCUAAAGCUCGUCGGCGGGUCGACAGAAUUUGGGCCUGAUGUGAAGAGUCUCACCCUAACCGCAAGUCUUGAGACAGACAGCCGGCUACGCGUGCGCAUCACCGAUGCUGACCAUCGGCGAUGGCAGGUUCCCCAAGACGUCAUCCCACGCCCAGCGCCUGGGCCGCAGCCAAAGGACGUCUUGCUCAACUCACCGGGCAAUCCCUCCAUGCCGAGCAAUAGCACCAUGUCAAGUGCGUCUUCGGACCUGACCUUCACCAUCCACGCCAGCCCGUUCCGCUUCACGGUCUCCCGUCGCUCCACCGGCGACACCCUUUUUGACACUUCCGCCAACCUUGUCUUCAAGGACCGGAAGUGGUCGAUGGGUGUGAAAUUGGAGGUGACAUCGGCGCUGCCGGCUAACAGAGCAUCCCUGUAUGGGCUCGGCGAGCAGAAAAAAGAGACGUUCCGCCUACAACACAAUGACACUUUCACGCUGUGGAACGGGGACGUGACGUGGUCCGACCAACCGGACCUCAACCUCUACGGCUCGCAUCCGUUUUACAUGGACGUGCGCUCCGGCGGUGCCGCGCAUGGCGUGCUCCUCUUGAACAGCAACGGGAUGGACAUAUUGUACGGCGGAUCCUACGUCACCUACAAGGUGAUCGGUGGCGUGCUAGACUUCUACUUCUUCGCCGGUCCCUCGCCGCUCGACGUCGUGGACCAGUACACGCAGCUCAUCGGCCGCCCUGCCCCCAUGCCCUACUGGUCAUUCGGUACGAGUACCUUCUUGGUAGGCAUAUAUGCACAUGCUCUGUUCUGCUACGCUCACUCGAUCUUGCACUUGUAG
rnacentral:rRNA from 1 species